AAGCAGUCUGUGCCAUGUUAUAGUAGCCGAUUGUGGGCAGCUACUGAGACACAAACUUAAUGAAAACACUCAACAACUAAAUGCUUAUUUCCUCAGUCAUCUGUGUGCUGAGGAUGCACAGGGGCUGAGGAUCCCUAAUUGCUGACCCCUGAACUGGUCUUCUGAGAGGAGGAGGAUGCUGGGAAAAGGAAGACUACAGCAGUUGAUGGAGCAAGUCAGGCACAGACGGACCUGGAGGAAAAGAUGGUAUCGGUGCAGAAGGAGGAAAGGUGGUUGAUUGAGUCUCAUGGGGCCAGAUGAUGAAAGAAGAAAGGUGAACUGGGCUCAGAUAGCAGACUCUGAAACUGCCACUCAUGGGAGAAGGGAUGAAGAUAAUCUACAAGCAGCUCCUGGCCACACCUGCGAUGGCCGCACGUCACACGAUACUAUCUCUGCUCCGUGAUCCUGUGCAGGUGAAAAACGCCUGACAGGACGGAAGAAGGAAA